AUGCAAAGUUUUAGAAAGUAAACAGCAACGGAUCGGAGUCAGAACGUUCCAGAUGGCUGGGCUGCACCGGCUCCCUCGGAAGCUGGAAACUGCCGUGCCGAACAGAGGCUGCGUGAAGGGCCGGAAACACAAGUCGCCGGCAUUUCUGUCUCCUUGUGGGCAUGACGUAGUGGUGCGGGCUGCUGCUUGUGCCAGGUGUCCUCACCCCUGCUUGAAGGGGUGAAGUGACUGUGCGUCAGAGACCCCGAAAACAGCCACCAUUUCCAAAGCUACGUUUCUAUGCAAUGGAGGAAAUUCGCGUGAGCCUGACAGUGCGUCCGCUGUCCGCGGCGGGCCCCUGUUGCAGAUGUGAAAAUCUGAUGCUUGUCCAAGAUCACCCAGCUAGGGAGUGAGGACCUGGGAGCAGCACUUCUGAAGCAACAGGAAAAGCCAAAGCCAUCUGGAGAGGGUAUCGUGGUCACUUGAGCGGAGGGAAGAGAGGUCAGGCUCCCCGGCAGAGGGGCAGGAGGUGGAAGGGAGCACAGAUGCCUCGUCAAACCCAUGCCCUCGGGAGUCGGCGGGAGCCUGGGGGACUCGCUCAUCCACGGCUGUGGGGGCCUUUGCAUGACUCCGGGGGCAGAGGGACCGGGAUGGUUCUUUGGGCACUCCUGUCGUGCCUGCCUCUAGGGCUGUGUCAGGAGGUCUGGCCUUAACUCUCAAGGAACAGGUACCCUUUGCAGUCUGUCCCCAGAGGGCAUGGUUGUGCCAGGAUGGGUGAACUGGACACGGGGGUCGGGAGAUCAUGCUCGUCCUGGUGCCCGGGAACCCCAAGCAGAGGACCCGGCAUAGAGCUGGGCGGACGGCAGAACCGCACCCUGAGCGCCCACUGCCCGCGGGCGCCGAGGAGGCCUCUGGAGGACAGUGUUUCCUCACGGACGUAGGUGCGCUUUACCUAACGUUUCUUGGAGAAGGAAAUUGAAGCUGAGAGGAUCUAGUGACCUGUGAGCCCUGCAGAGGCCAGGCAGAGCUGGGACAUUUCCAGAAACAUCUUCCGGGAAAGGAAAUGAAUCUGAAUGCACCAAGACUGCUCUGGUUACAAGUGACAGAAACCCGGAUGAGAGCGGCAGACAGCAGGUUCAUUGGUCUUGAAGCUGGGUGCAGGCACAGCUGGGCUCAGGGUCCACGUGCUUCGUAGGGCCCCUCUCUCUGCUGAGUUCUUCAUUCUCCGCUGGGCCUCGGCGGCCAGGGAAGGUGAACCCCGUGGGCUUCCUACCCAUGUCCCACAGGGGUGUAAGCGUCGUGGGGAAAAACACCAUUUGCCAGUCUUCCACAAAACAAAAUUCAAAGAACUGAGUUUCGUGGUUGUGUGCUGGGCGAUGCAUCCGGCCCCAAACCAGUCCUUGGACGGGAGGCAUGGGAACGUGCUAACUGGCCAGAUGCGUCACGGGCUAUUUCUGAAUCUGGGAGUGGGGGCUCCCCCACAUCAAUCAAUAGAUUAGAAUAGGCGACUCCUCAAGGAAGCUUGGAGAACAGUUGUGUGAGGAGGAGACACGGAUGCGGGCCCAGCCACGUGACACACAGCUGUCACAGAAACAAACGGUUCGCACGGCUAGCUGUGAGCCUGGGUCAUACCACGUGAGCCCUACUCUCCAGCGCAUCUUCUUCAGCUCCGUGCAAGGUGGACGUUCUUUUUUUUUUUUUUUAAAGAUUUUAUUUAUUUAUUUGACAGACAGAUCACAGGUAGGCAGAGAAGCAUGUUUAGAGAGAGGAGGAAGCAGGCUCCCCGCUGAGCAGAGAGCCUGAUGUGGGGCUCGAUCCCAGAACCGUGGGAUCAUGACCUGAGCCGAAGGCAGAGGCUUUAACCCACUGAGCCACCCAGGCGCCCCCAAGGUGGACGUUCUUAACGUAGGCUCCAGCCUCACCGCCACCCACGCCUGCGUUUAGCAGCUCUGGCCCAGCUGCAUGCACUUGUACCUGUAGCGGGUAGCGGUCGUUAAAGAAAUGAAUUAAGUUAAGUGAAUUGAAUUAAAGAAUUGAAUUGAGUUAACUGAAUUGAGUUAAAGAAAUGAAUCCGAAGAAAGAGAGAGAAAAUCUCUAUGUGUGUAUUUUACAUACGUG